GUCGGUAAAACUCGUGCCAGCCACCGCGGUUAUACGAGGGGCCCAAGUUGACAGACCACGGCGUAAAGCGUGGUUAAGGGAAGACUCAAACUAAAGCCGAACGACCUCAAGGCUGUUAUACGCUUACGAAGGUACGAAGCCCGACCACGAAAGUGACUUUAACCUCACCUGACUCCACGAAAGCUGAGAAACAAACUGGGAUUAGAUACCCCACUAUG
rnacentral:rRNA from 1 species